AAGUCGUAACAAGGUAACCGUAGGUGAACCUGCGGUUGGAUCAUUAAAAAGAUCUAGCCCGAACUUGGGCGAGGUCGUUGAUGCAUGUCGACGAUCUCGUUCGAUGCCGGGUUUUCUCACCUAAAAAGUGAGCUAACAUUAUGUGAACUGUUCUGUCUCUGGCGGUGGGGUGGGGUCAAAACCACCUGUCAGCAUCCGAGUUCUCUCGGUGUGCCGUGGACAAGCCGUCAAUGGUGUAUGUUUCAUACAAACUUUUGUUUCAUCAAUCUGUCUGACAUACCUUUGUAUCUAAAAUAUACAAAAACAACUUUUGGCAACGGAUCUCUUGGCUCCC
rnacentral:misc_RNA from 1 species